UUUUAAGUUAUAUUUGCUUGGUAUAAUUGUAUUUUGAUUGUUAAUUCUAUGACUUCACCCGUGGUGUACCGUCUUGUAUUAAUAUCGACCAAAAUCCGUCAUACCAUAUAACCCCAUCUCGUUAAAUUAAAAAUCAUUUUGCUAU
rnacentral:sRNA from 1 species